rnacentral:rRNA from 1 species
AGAGUUCGAUCCUGGCUCAGGACGAACGCUGGCGGCGUGCCUAAUACAUGCAAGUAGAACGCUGAAGAGAGGAGCUUGCUCUUCUUGGAUGAGUUGCGAACGGGUGAGUAACGCGUAGGUAACCUGCCUUGUAGCGGGGGAUAACUAUUGGAAACGAUAGCUAAUACCGCAUAACAAUGGAUGACCCAUGUCAUUUAUUUGAAAGGGGCAAAUGCUCCACUACAAGAUGGACCUGCGUUGUAUUAGCUAGUAGGUGAGGUAACGGCUCACCUAGGCGACGAUACAUAGCCGACCUGAGAGGGUGAUCGGCCACACUGGGACUGAGACACGGCCCAGACUCCUACGGGAGGCAGCAGUAGGGAAUCUUCGGCAAUGGGGGCAACCCUGACCGAGCAACGCCGCGUGAGUGAAGAAGGUUUUCGGAUCGUAAAGCUCUGUUGUAAGUCAAGAACGAGUGUGAGAGUGGAAAGUUCACACUGUGACGGUAGCUUACCAGAAAGGGACGGCUAACUACGUGCCAGCAGCCGCGGUAAUACGUAGGUCCCGAGCGUUGUCCGGAUUUAUUGGGCGUAAAGCGAGCGCAGGCGGUUUGAUAAGUCUGAAGUUAAAGGCUGUGGCUCAACCAUAGUUCGCUUUGGAAACUGUCAAACUUGAGUGCAGAAGGGGAGAGUGGAAUUCCAUGUGUAGCGGUGAAAUGCGUAGAUAUAUGGAGGAACACCGGUGGCGAAAGCGGCUCUCUGGUCUGUAACUGACGCUGAGGCUCGAAAGCGUGGGGAGCGAACAGGAUUAGAUACCCUGGUAGUCCACGCCGUAAACGAUGAGUGCUAGGUGUUGGAUCCUUUCCGGGAUUCAGUGCCGCAGCUAACGCAUUAAGCACUCCGCCUGGGGAGUACGACCGCAAGGUUGAAACUCAAAGGAAUUGACGGGGGCCCGCACAAGCGGUGGAGCAUGUGGUUUAAUUCGAAGCAACGCGAAGAACCUUACCAGGUCUUGACAUCCCGAUGCUAUUUCUAGAGAUAGAAAGUUACUUCGGUACAUCGGUGACAGGUGGUGCAUGGUUGUCGUCAGCUCGUGUCGUGAGAUGUUGGGUUAAGUCCCGCAACGAGCGCAACCCCUAUUGUUAGUUGCCAUCAUUCAGUUGGGCACUCUAGCGAGACUGCCGGUAAUAAACCGGAGGAAGGUGGGGAUGACGUCAAAUCAUCAUGCCCCUUAUGACCUGGGCUACACACGUGCUACAAUGGUUGGUACAACGAGUUGCGAGUCGGUGACGGCAAGCUAAUCUCUUAAAGCCAAUCUCAGUUCGGAUUGUAGGCUGCAACUCGCCUACAUGAAGUCGGAAUCGCUAGUAAUCGCGGAUCAGCACGCCGCGGUGAAUACGUUCCCGGGCCUUGCACACACCGCCCGUCA